GCGGAGGUAGCUCAAUUGGCAGAGCGCGAGUCUUCCAAACUCGAGGCUAUGGGUUCGAUUCCCAUCUUCCGCCCCA
rnacentral:tRNA from 1 species